rnacentral:ncRNA from 1 species
AGGAUCGCGCCGGGAGAGUGCGGGUUUCCCGCCGCCGAAGGAGCAACCGCCCCGGUAAACUCUCAGGCACCAGGGACCGGACGAGCCG